rnacentral:lncRNA from 1 species
GCUCAUUGGUAUUGGAAAUUUCCUGAGGAUAUGGACUCUGGUUUGGUCUUCUUUAUUUCCCCUUGUAAAUAAAGGAAGGGCAUGAACAGAUAAACAGCUUACCAGAGGUCUCACUCUGAGUGGAGUGGAGCCAGAAGCCAGCUGCCAUCCUGCUUGGUGAGGCCCACCUGGUGAGAAACUGAAGCAUCUUGUCAGUAGCAAUGUUACACUCAAGAUGUUGGCUGGAGCUUCUGUCAUCUGAAGGCGUGACUUGGACUGUUAUGUUCACUUCCAAGACUGAAACUUUAGAACUGAAAAACAGAAUACAUGAAAUAAAAAACUUACUGGAUGGGCUAAAUAGAAGUCUGGAAAUG